rnacentral:rRNA from 1 species
CCUACGGGAGGCAGCAGUGAGGAAUAUUGGUCAAUGGUCGGAAGCCUGAACCAGCCAAGUAGCGUGCAGGAUGACGGCCCUACGGGUUGUAAACUGCUUUUAUACGGGAAUAAAGCGCCUUACGUGUAGGGCUUUGCAUGUACCGCAUGAAUAAGGACCGGCUAAUUCCGUGCCAGCAGCCGCGGUAAUACGGAAGGUCCGGGCGUUAUCCGGAUUCAUUGGGGUUAAAGGGAGCGUAGGCCGCGCGUUAAGCCCGCCUGGAAAUGCCGCGGCUCAACCCGGGCACUGCGGUGGAAACUGGAUGGCUUGAGUGCACGACAGGCAGGCGGAAUUCGUGGUGUAGCGGUGAAAUGCAUAGAUAUCACGAGGAACCCCGAUUGCGAAGGCAGCCUGCCGGAGUGCGACUGACGCUGAGGCUCGAAGGUGCGGGUAUCAAACAGGAUUAGAUACCCCAGUAGUC